rnacentral:rRNA from 1 species
UACAGAGGUCUCAAGCGUUGUUCGGAUUCAUUGGGCGUAAAGGGUGUGUAGGUGGCGCGCUAAGUCGGGUGUGAAAAUUUCGGAGCUUUAACUCCGAAACUGCAUUCGAUACUGGCGUGCUUGAGGACUGGAGAGGAGACUGGAAUUCAUGGUGUAGCAGUGAAAUGCGUAGAGAUCAUGAGGAAGACCAGUGGCGAAGGCGGGGUCUCUGGACAGUUCCUGACACUGAGACACGAAGGCCAGGGGGAGCAAAACGGGG